GGCGAAGGAUGCAAGCGUUAUCCGGAUUCAUUGGGUUUAAAGGGAGCGUAGGCGGCCCUGUAAGUCAGUGGUGAAAUCUUUGGGCUUAACCCAAAAAUUGCCAUUGAUACUGCAGGGCUUGAGUACAGUUGCUGUGGGCGGAAUAUGACAUGUAGUGGUGAAAUACAUAGAGAUGUCAUAGAACACCGAUUGCGAAGGCAGCUCACAAAACUGUAACUGACGCUGAGGCUCGAAAGUGCGGGGAUCAAACAGG
rnacentral:rRNA from 1 species